GUAUAAAAAGCGAGAGAUUUUGCAUACAGUUUCGGCCUGUAUUUUGGGGGUGUAAGUCCCUCUUUAUACU
rnacentral:tRNA from 1 species